rnacentral:sRNA from 1 species
UACAAUUGAUUACUUUUUAUAAGCGUAAAUUCAUUGUACUAUUUUAUAAAAUUUUUCAAACGAAAAAAGGAGAAGGCGAGAGAGAGAAUUGGGGAGGCAAUAAGUUUAGCGGCGACGACCUUCCCAGAACUUCCAGCUUCCACAUGUGCC